AUUGAACGCUGGCGGCAUGCCUAACACAUGCAAGUCGAACGGAGGUAGGGGCAACUCUACUUCAGUGGCGGACGGGUGAGGAAUGCGUCGGAAUCUACCCUAUGGUGGGGAUAACACAGGGAAACUUGUGCUAAUACCGCAUAAUGUCGAGAGACCAAAGCAGGGGACCGCAAGGCCUUGCGCGAUAGGAUGAGCCGACGCCCGAUUAGCUAGUUGGUAGGGUAAAGGCCUACCAAGGCGACGAUCGGUAGCUGGUCUGAGAGGAUGAUCAGCCACACUGGGACUGAGACACGGCCCAGACUCCUACGGGAGGCAGCAGUGGGGAAUAUUGGACAAUGGGCGAAAGCCUGAUCCAGCAAUGCCGCGUGUGUGAAGAAGGCCUGCGGGUUGUAAAGCACUUUUGUUCGGGAAGAAAACGUAGCCGGUCAAUACCCGGUAUGAAUGACGGUACCGAAAGAAUAAGCACCGGCUAACUUCGUGCCAGCAG
rnacentral:rRNA from 1 species